CAGGCCUAACACAUGCAAGUCGAGCGGGCAUAGCAAUAUGUCAGCGGCAGACGGGUGAGUAACGCGUGGGAACGUACCUUUUGGUUCGGAACAACACAGGGAAACUUGUGCUAAUACCGGAUAAGCCCUUACGGGGAAAGAUUUAUCGCCGAAAGAUCGGCCCGCGUCUGAUUAGCUAGUUGGUGAGGUAAUGGCUCACCAAGGCGACGAUCAGUAGCUGGUCUGAGAGGAUGAUCAGCCACAUUGGGACUGAGACACGGCCCAAACUCCUACGGGAGGCAGCAGUGGGGAAUAUUGGACAAUGGGCGCAAGCCUGAUCCAGCCAUGCCGCGUGAGUGAUGAAGGCCCUAGGGUUGUAAAGCUCUUUUGUGCGGGAAGAUAAUGACGGUACCGCAAGAAUAAGCCCCGGCUAACUUCGUGCCAGCAGCCGCGGUAAUGCGAAGGGGGCUAGCGUUGCUCGGAAUCACUGGGCGUAAAGGGUGCGUAGGCGGGUCUUUAAGUCAGGGGUGAAAUCCUGGAGCUCAACUCCAGAACUGCUUUUGAUACUGAAGAUCUUGAGUUCGGGAGAGGUGAGUGGAACUGCGAGUGUAGAGGUGAAAUUCGUAGAUAUUCGCAAGAACACCAGUGGCGAAGGCGGCUCACUGGCCCG
rnacentral:rRNA from 1 species